AUUCAUAUACCCUAUAAUGGCUAAUGGAGACUCUUCAUCGAUCAUUCAGUUGUCUGCUGCUGGUGGGAUGUGCGGCGGGUUAGGCUUUGGUUUGGGCUCCGGCUUGGGUUCAGGCUUUGGUUUUGGUUCAGGCUUAGGCUCCGGUUUGGGUUCUGGUUUCGGCUUGGGCUCGGGCUUUGGUUCAGGUUUAGGCUUAGGCUCAGGCUUAGGUAGUGGUUCGGGUUUUGGUUCCGGCUUCGGCUCAGGCUUAGGCUCGGGUUUUGGUUUGGGCUCGGGCUUAGGCUCUGGUUUGGGUAGUGGUUCUGGUUUUGGUUCUGGCUUGGGCUCGGGCUUAGGCUCUGGUUUGGGCAGUGGCUCUGGCUUUGGCUCUGGUUUUGGCAAUGGUUUGGGCUUUGGUUCCGGCUUGGGCUCAGGCUUAGGCUCUGGUUUUGGUAGUGGUUCAGGUUUUGGUUCCGGCUUGGGUUCAGGCUUAGGCUCGGGCUUUGGUUCCGGCUUGGGCUCAUGCUUAGGUUGCAGUGGUUCGGGUAUGGGUUCUGUGCUUGGGUUCAGGCUUAGUGCUCGGUGCUUUGGGUAUCGUGCUUGGGCUCAGGCUUAGGCUCCGGUAUCGGCAUCGGUUCGGGCUUUGGUUCUGGCUAGGGCUCAGGCUUAGGCUCAGGUUUUGGUUUUGGCAUGGGCUCAGGUUUUGGUUCAGGCUUAGGCUCCGGCUUAGGCUCAGGCUUAGGUUUUGGUUCUGGCUUGGGCUCCGGUUUUGGCAGUGGUUCAGGCUUGGGCUCAGGCUCGGGUUUUGGUUCAGGCUUAGGCUCAGGUUUUGGCUUUGGCUCAGGCUUUUUUGGCUUUGGCUUUGGUUCAGGCAUAGGCUUGGGCAUCGGUUCGGGUUUGGGCUUUGGCUCUGGCUUCGUUAUGGGUUUAGGUUGAGGCUCAGGUUUAGGUUCAGGUUUCGGCGAAGGCUCUGGAUGAGGCUCAGUUUUUGGCUCUGGACGUGGCUUGGGCUCUGGUUUAGGUUCAGGUUUGGGCUCUGGCUGUGGCAGGGGCUGCGGCUGAGGCUGGGGUUCCGGUUUGGGUUGUGGCUCCGGCUGCGGCAGCUCGGCGGCAGCACGUCCAUGCUUGCGCGCGAAGCGGCCGCCAUGGCCAAGCCCGACGCCGGCAGCCGCCGCUUCGUCGACGAAGAAGGCGGUGGCAGUGGCCGCCACGGCUCCCAGAAGCACGGCGAGGAGAAGGCAGCAUGAAGAGAGGCGACGCGUCGCCGCC
rnacentral:lncRNA from 1 species